UCCCUGGUGGUCCAGUGGUUAAGACUCCAUGCACUUCCAAUGCAGGGGCCACAGGUUCGAUCCCUGGUUGGGGAA
rnacentral:tRNA from 1 species